CUGCAGAGAGGAGGACAGAGGACAGAGGACACACAGUUUAACAUGAUGGACUAUAGGACAGGACUGCUGCUGCUCACUGUCUGCUGGGCAGGUGUUGAUGGUCAGACUCUGACAGAAUCUGAUCCAGUGACUAAAAGGCCUGGAGAAUCUCACAGAUUGACCUGUACAGCCUCUGGAUUCACAUUCAGUAGCUACAGGAUGAACUGGGUCAGACAGGCUCCUGGGAAAGGACUGGAGUGGAUCGCUUUUAUCCACCCUACUAGCAGUAGCAGCAUCUACUACUCUGAGUCAGUGAAAGGCCGGUUCACCAUCUCCAGAGACAACAACAGACAGCAGGUGUAUCUGCAGAUGAACAGUCUGACGGCUGUAGACUCUGCUGUUUAUUACUGUGCUCGAGACACACAGUGACUGAAGCUGGUUGAGC